rnacentral:rRNA from 1 species
ACCAGACUCCUACGGGAGGCAGCAGUGGGGGAUAUUGCACAAUGGGGGGAACCCUGAUGCAGCGACGCCGCGUGGGUGAAGAAGCGCCUCGGCGCGUAAAGCCCUGUCAGCAGGGAAGAAAAUGACGGUACCUGAAGAAGAAGCCCCGGCUAACUACGUGCCAGCAGCCGCGGUAAUACGUAGGGGGCAAGCGUUAUCCGGAUUUACUGGGUGUAAAGGGGGCGCAGACGGCGAUGCAGGCCAGGAGUGAAAGCCCGGGGCCCAACCCCGGGACUGCUCUUGGAACUGCGUGGCUGGAGUGCAGGAGGGGCAGGCGGAAUUCCUAGUGUAGCGGUGAAAUGCGUAGAUAUUAGGAGGAACACCAGUGGCGAAGGCGGCCUGCUGGACGGUGUACUGACGCUGAGGCUCGAAAGCGUGGGGAGCAAACAGGAUUAGAUACCCGGGUAA